CAGUGGUGGAUAAUUAUUGCAUUGAGUUAUUCCACGUGGAUUGUCUUUCGGCACAAUGGCUGAGUUAUUCCGUGAGGAGUUGUCCUGUUGCAAGUUGGCGCCCCAUUCAGUCAAGAGAAUGGAUAACUUUGGUACAUUCUAGAUCUUUUGGAUCUUUUUGCUGACUCAGGAAUUCUGGGAGUUGAAGUCCACAGGUCAUAAAGCUUCCCACCCCUGCCCUAGAGCAUUGCCAUGCAAGCUAGGUUUUACGACACCUUUUCCCAAGCUGGUGCUCAUCAUUGUUGGAAGGUGGAAAAGGGGGUAGGAACCGUCCCUCCAUCAAAGGUGUGUCUCAUGCAGCUGGGGAAAACCACCUCCGUUCACCCUUGGUGGAACUUCUUUCAUCUUAGAUAAAAUUGAUAAGAGCCAGGUUCAGUCUUCAUGACCAACCAAAAUUAAGUUAACAGAAGCCAUUGUUUAGAAAAAGUGGCACUUUUUCCAAACAACUGGCUUCUAAAGAGAGAAUAUGCACAGCAUCAUGUACUUUCUAAUGAGAUAUAUUUGAUCAAUAGAACUCAUUGUUGCAAUUUCUUGGUUAACGCCUUCUAAAUCUGGUGCUAUGUAAUCAAAAAGAGGUCAGUACAUGGAGAAUUCUACAGAUUUGUCAUAAAGCAAAUUCAACACAAGUAUAUUUGUUAAAGGUAGAAAAUGUUAUUUAAGAAAGUCAGAUGCUUUAUAUGGUGCAUUUGGCUUCUGUUCCUGCAUUACCUAUUUAUAUUUUCCAAGUAAUGCAUUUAAAGCUUGAGUGGAGUAUAAAUUUGGUUUGAAGUUAGAUAGCACUUAAUUCUUGUAACAAAUGGUGGACUUUCUAAAAACCAUGAACCUUUCCAGAAAAAUAUUAUCAUUUUCUGAUGUAGUAAAAUAAACUCACCAAAUAUAACAUUUUGUUGUAAUAUUGUGAUAUAAUGUCAUUAAUCCUGAUUUCCUACUGAGAAUUCAUUGGAAGGUUGGGUUCUAGUUUUUGAAACAAAAAUAUUAAAAAUACUUUGCAACUUUGCAGUUUUCCACAUUUCCACAUAACAAAACUACGAGUGUAUCCAAUUAACUUUCCUAAGCAUUCUGGAAAAUAAAUAGAACUAAAUCUCUUGCUAUUUGAACAUCAUCACAUUUUUAUUUAAAAUUUACUUUCUGCCUACAGUUGGAUUAAGAUCUUGGAUCAGGUUUCUUUCUUUAAUGGCAACAAUAAUGAUAAUGUCUUGCUUAUGCUGUGAAAUGUCCUGACAUUUCAGAAGUAUCAAAAGGGACAGCCAGAAGGAUCCCCUUGGGGAUGCGAUGCUGUGGUGGAAACAGCUUCCCUUUCAUUUGGGAUAAUGGCAACGCCAGAAAGAUGACUUCAUCGUCCAGACCUGGGAAAAUCAGUGAUGUGGGAAAUGUGCCAACCUACUUGGGUUGCAGAAAGCUUUGAACCUGUUUGAAUGUUGCCAAGUAAAAAGGUGAGAACUCCCCUCUUGCAUAUCUAGACAAGCACUCAGAGAGGUAGACAAGUACCUUUCUCCCUGAUUAUACAGGCAGAGAAGGCAUUUUUAUAUUUUCUUUUUUAAGGGAAUUUACCCUGAAGUGGUAUGAUCCCCAUUCUCCACCAUUUAUCAUAUGUAUCUUCUCAACAACCUGUCAGUCCUCCAAGAACGAGAUGUGUGUGUCCUGUGAUAGUUGAAGGGGAAAGCGUUGGGGUCACUAGUCCUAGCUAGAGGUUAAUUAUGAUCAACUGCAAGACAGCAGCAAUUCCCUUGCCAAAUAACAUCUCCUGCCAGGUUUGUGGGUCCAUGUGUUAUGAGGAUGGUGGAGGUGAUACAUAGGUGCCAGAGCCUGUUCUGUGCACACGCAGAUUAUGUGGAGCAGCCUAUGUGGAUAGAUUGCUAUUACAGUCUUCCCACAAGUUUUGUCCUUGAGCUUAUCUUACUCAUUAGAAUUAAUGAAACAAACAGGACACGUAACUGGGCUGUUGGCCUUCUUCAACAUAUUACCAUUUGAGUUGCCUGUUAAUUUAUAGCACAAUAGAGGUUUGCCACAAUGCCAGCUAGGUAGAAUAACCACAGUGUUGGGAAACCACUAUGCUUUUUUAUUGGUUUAUGCCCUUUUAUGUUGUAAAUGGCUAGUUUCCCUUUAAAUAAAUACUGCUUUUGAAAAGUU